rnacentral:rRNA from 1 species
UACGGGGGGAGCAAGCGUUGUUCGGAUUUACUGGGCGUAAAGGGCGCGUAGGCGGCGUGGUAAGUCACUUGUGAAAUCUCCGGGCUUAACUCGGAACGGUCAAGUGAUACUGCUGUGCUAGAGUGCGGAAGGGGCAACUGGAAUUCUCGGUGUAGCGGUGAAAUGCGUAGAUAUCGAGAGGAACACCUGCGGCGAAGGCGGGUUGCUGGGCCGACACUGACGCUGAGGCGCGAAAGCUAGGGGAGCGAACGGG